rnacentral:rRNA from 1 species
UACAGAGGUCCCAAGCGUUGUUCGGAUUCACUGGGCGUAAAGGGUGCGUAGGUGGCCGGUUAAGUCUGACGUGAAAUCUCCGAGCCAAACUCGGAAACUGCAUCGGAAACUAUCCGGCUCGAGGGUUGGAGGGGGGACUGGAAUACUUGGUGUAGCAGUGAAAUGCGUAGAUAUCAAGUGGAACACCAGUGGCGAAGGCGAGUCCCUGGACAACUCCUGACACUGAGGCACGAAAGCUAGGGGAGCAAACAGG